rnacentral:tRNA from 1 species
UGGCUCAUUUGGUAGAGCAUGGUGUUUGCAAUGCCAGGGUUGUGGGUUAGAUUCCCAC